CGUGCUUAACACAUGCAAGUCGAACGAUUAAAGCCCCCUUCGGGGGGUGUAUAGAGUGGCGAACGGGUGAGUAACACGUGGGGAACCUGCCCCUCUCUCUGGGAUAACUCCGGGAAACCGGUGCUAAUACCGGAUACUCCGAUCAGGUCGUAUGGCCAGAUCGGGAAAGCUCCGGCGGAGAGGGAUGGUCCCGCGGCCCAUUAGCUUGUUGGUGAGGUAACGGCUCACCAAGGCCGCGAUGGGUAGCCGAGCUGAGAGGCUGAUCGGCCACAUUGGGACUGAGACACGGCCCAAACUCCUACGGGAGGCAGCAGUGGGGAAUCUUAGACAAUGGGGGAAACCCUGAUCUAGCCAUGCCGCGUGGACGAUGAAGGCCCUAGGGUUGUAAAGUCCUUUCAGCUGGGAAGAUAAUGACGGUACCAGCAGAAGAAGCCCCGGCUAACUCCGUGCCAGCCGCCGCGGUAACAC
rnacentral:rRNA from 1 species